ACCUAUUUUAAGCUCAGUCUGUAGAGCAUGAGACUCUUAAUCUCAGGGUCAUGGGUUCAAGCCCCAUGUUGGGCA